rnacentral:rRNA from 1 species
AGUAAUGUACGGGGAUCUGCCCGAUAGAGGGGAAUAACUACUGGAAACGGUGGCUAAUACCGCAUAAUGUCUACGGACCAAAGCAGGGGCUCUUCGGACCUUGCACUAUCGGAUGAACCCAUAUGGGAUUAGCUAGUAGGUGGGGUAAAGGCUCACCUAGGCGACGAUCUCUAGCUGGUCUGAGAGGAUGAUCAGCCACACUGGGACUGAGACACGGCCCAG